rnacentral:rRNA from 1 species
ACCCGCUGAACUUAAGCAUAUCAAUAAGCGGAGGAAAAGAAACCAACAGGGAUUGCCCUAGUAACGGCGAGUGAAGCGGCAACAGCUCAAAUUUGAAAUCUGGCGUCUUUGGCGUCCGAGUUGUAAUUUGCAGAGGGCGCUUUGGCAUUGGCAGCGGUCCAAGUUCCUUGGAACAGGACGUCACAGAGGGUGAGAAUCCCGUACGUGGUCGCUAGCCUUUACCGUGUAAAGCCUCUUCGACGAGUCGAGUUGUUUGGGAAUGCAGCUCUAAAUGGGAGGUAAAUUUCUUCUAAAGCUAAAUACUGGCCAGAGACCGAUAGCGCACAAGUAGAGUGAUCGAAAGAUGAAAAGCACUUUGGAAAGAGAGUUAAAAAGCACGUGAAAUUGUUGAAAGGGAAGCGCUUGCAGCCAGACUUGCCUGUAGUUGCUCAUCCGGGUUUUUACCCGGUGCACUCUUCUAUAGGCAGGCCAGCAUCAGUUUGGGCGGUUGGAUAAAGGUCUCUGUCAUGUACCUCUCUUCGGGGAGAACUUAUAGGGGAGACGACAUGCAACCAGCCCGGACUGAGGUCCGCGCAUCUGCUAGGAUGCUGGCGUAAUGGCUGU